AGUGGAUGGGGAGCAACCUAGUUGUGCGUGUGUAAAGGUAGUGCCAAGAAAAGCGAUGAUCAUGUUGAAAAUCAAUUCCCGGUACCCGAAACCGACACAGGUGGGCAAGUAGAGAAUACUAAGGGGCGCGAGGUAACUCUCUCCAAGGAACUCGGCAAAAUGACCCCGUAACUUAGGGAGAAGGGGUGCCACCGAGAGGUGGUCGCAGUGAAGAGGCCCAGGCGACUGUUUAGCAAAAACAUAGGUCUCUGCAAACUCGAAAGAGGAGGUAUAGGGGCUGACGCCUGCCCAGUGCCGGAAGGUUAAAGAAGUUGGUCAGUUUUAGGAUGAAGCUAGCGACUGAAGCCCCGGUGAACGGCGGCCGUAACUAUAACGGUCCUAAGGUAGCGAAAUUCCUUGUCGGGUAAGUUCCGACCCGCACGAAAGGCGUAACGAUCUGGGCGCUGUCUCGGAGAGAGGCUCGGCGAAAUAGGAUUGUCUGUGAAGAUACGGACUACCUGCAUUUGGACAGAAAGACCCUAUGAAGCUUUACUAUAGCUUGGAAUUGUGUUCGGGCUUCCUGUGCGCAGGAUAGGUGGGAGGCGAAGAAGGUAUUCUUGUGGGGAUACUGGAGCCAACGGUGAGAUACCACUCUCAGGAGGCUAGAAUUCUAACUUAAUUAAGGACAGUUUCAGGUGGGUAGUUUGACUGGGGCGGUCGCCUCCAAAAAGGUAACGGAGGCGUACAAAGGUUCCCUCAGACUGGUUGGAAAUCAGUCGCAGAGUGCAAAGGCAGAAGGGAGCUUGACUGCGAGAAGUACAGUUCGAGCAGGGUGGAAACACGGUCUUAGUGAUCCGACGGUGCUGUGUGGAAGGGCCGUCGCUCAACGGAUAAAAGUUACUCUAGGAUAACAGGCUGAUCUCCCCCAAGAGUUCACAUCGACGGGGAGGUUUGGCACCUCGAUGUCGGCUCAUCGCAACCUGGGGCGGAAGUACGUCCCAAGGGUUGGGCUGUUCGCCCAUUAAAGCGGUACGUGAGCUGGGUUCAGAACGUCGUGAGACAGUUCGGUCCAUAUCCGAUGUAGGCGUGAGAAUAUUGAGAGGAGCCUUCCUUAGUACGAGAGGACCGGGAAGGACGCACCGCUGGUGUACCUGUUAUGAUGCCAAUUGUAAACGCAGGGUAGCCAAGUGCGGAGAGGAUAACCGCUGAAAGCAUCUAAGUGGGAAGCCCACCUCAAGAUGAGUAUUCUGGUGUAAGGUCACGGGAAGACGACCCGUAAAUAGGCACGAGGUGGAAGUGCAGAGAUGUAUGAAGCCGAAGUGUACUAAUAGACCGUCGGCUUGAACG
rnacentral:rRNA from 1 species